rnacentral:rRNA from 1 species
UACGUAGGGGGGCAAGCGUUGUCCGGAUUUACUGGGCGUAAAGAGCGUGUAGGCGGCCACGCAGGUCCGUUGUGAAAACUGGAGGCUCAACCUCCAGCUGUCGACGGAAACCGUAUGGCUAGAGUCCGGAAGAGGAGAGUGGAAUUCCUGGUGUAGCGGUGAAAUGCGCAGAUAUCAGGAAGAACACCAAUGGCGAAGGCAGCUCUC